CGGGGCGUGGCUCAGCCUGGUAGAGCGUCUGCUUUGGGAGCAGAAUGUCGCAAGUUCGAAUCUUGUCGCCCCGACCA
rnacentral:tRNA from 1 species